AGAGUUUGAUCCUGGCUCAGGAUGAACGCUAGCGGCAGGCCUAACACAUGCAAGUCGAGGGGUAUAUGGUGCUUGCACCAUAGAGACCGGCGCACGGGUGCGUAACGCGUAUGCAAUCUGCCUUGUACAGGGGAAUAGCCCAGGGAAACUUGGAUUAAUGCCCCAUAGUAUUAUUUUGUAGCAUUACAUUAUAAUUAAAGAUUUAUCGGUACAAGAUGAGCAUGCGUCCCAUUAGUUAGUUGGUAAGGUAACGGCUUACCAAGACAGCGAUGGGUAGGGGCCCUGAGAGGGGGAUCCCCCACACUGGUACUGAGACACGGACCAGACUCCUACGGGAGGCAGCAGUGAGGAAUAUUGGACAAUGGGCGGAAGCCUGAUCCAGCCAUGCCGCGUGCAGGAAGACGGCCCUAUGGGUUGUAAACUGCUUUUGUACGGGAAGAAACACCCCCACGUGUGGGGACUUGACGGUACCGUAAGAAUAAGCAUCGGCUAACUCCGUGCCAGCAGCCGCGGUAAUACGGAGGAUCCAAGCGUUAUCCGGAAUCAUUGGGUUUAAAGGGUCCGUAGGCGGCCUUAUAAGUCAGUGGUGAAAUCUCCUAGCUCAACUAGGAAACUGCCAUUGAUACUGUAGGGCUUGAAUGUUUGUGAAGUAACUAGAAUAUGUAGUGUAGCGGUGAAAUGCUUAGAUAUUACAUGGAAUACCAAUUGCGAAGGCAGGUUACUAACAGAUUAUUGACGCUGAUGGACGAAAGCGUGGGGAGCGAACAGGAUUAGAUACCCUGGUAGUCCACGCCGUAAACGAUGGAUACUAGCUGUUCGGUGCAAACUGAGUGGCUAAGCGAAAGUGAUAAGUAUCCCACCUGGGGAGUACGCACGCAAGUGUGAAACUCAAGGAUUGACGG
rnacentral:rRNA from 1 species